CUUCCCGCCGGCGACCGUAAUGGCGGGAGGGCGGGAAGGUAUGGGACAGGGGGAGAGGCGGCGUCUCUGGGCGGCGUUCUCUUCCCCGCCGUGAUGCUCUGUUUUCGUUUUGCCUCCUCUUCCACUAAGCAUGCGUGGACUAGAGAGCGAUAAAAUCGUGCGCGGUGCGGUGGCACACUCGCCCGCGUUUAGCGUGUACAACGCCCGCUUACAUUCCAUCUCCUCUUCUCUGAACAGCACACGGCUACCCCCGAAGCGCUCCUCGAGAACGUGCCACAAAGAUUCCUCACGAACGCACGCCCCCCCUUCCCCGCAAAAAGCCGUCGAUGUAGAGGUGAAGCACAACAGAGAGACCACUACCCCCUCCUUGUGGAAAAGGCCACUCGCCACUGUGAAGAGGUUGCUUUAUGCAUGGCGCACAGACCCUACCGAUGCCUUCGAAUCCGAGGCUGCUUCGCCCUAUUCACGCGUAAACAACAGCCCUGUGCUCGGUUACCACCGCGAUCCUUGCCGUCGGAGGAGUGCCAGUGCGUCGAAGCUCGCGAAGGAUGCCGCGGACUGAUCGAGGCUCGCUGUGCUAGGAGUGCUUGACCGUGACAUGGUACGUGAAUUUUGUGACGGUAGUUGGGACUCUUUCACCGGUGCUGGGUCGUCGAAUCAGCGCUACUGCACGGCCCUCCGCGACCCCGCGUUGCGCCACGAUAGGAUCAUACACCUCAUCCCGCUCUGGUGGCAUCGGUGAGAGCCCUCCAUUGAAUAGUUCACGCGUCAGACGAUGUGCAGUCUUCUCCACAGCGAAGGGGGCGAUUAUUCCUUUUUGCAGCAUCAAUGGCGUGCCGAACAUGGCAGACGUAUUCGCAAGCAACUUUCGGGGUAGAAGUGGGGAGAGCGAUCCUUCGUGAUUAGACUCACGGCGCCCGUCACUACCGCGCAGCCGUACCAGAGUGCGGCACUUGGGCAUGAGCGCACGGAGGCGCUGAUUGUUGGAGGUUCGAGGCUGCAGUGCCAUAAAGGGGAAAGCGGGUCGCCAGACGACGCACAAUUCCGCAGCAGGGCGCGCGCGUUUCUUCUUUCACCAGCUCAGUCAUGCGUCUCCGCAGGGGAGGCAGGACAAAAAGCCGAAAACACAUGAGCACACGUGCUGAUCCGCCAUGGGGCGCUCACUCUGCCGUAGGCCCCCUCCCCCUAUAUUAAUGCACGUCUAAGCCCCUCGCACAUUUCACCCCUCCAAGCAGGAACAGGGAGAUGAAAAACGAGAGACAGGAAUCAUGUGCCCCCCCCCUCCCCCCGCAGACCGCCGUUUUCCUUUGUUUUGCUCUGGAGCUGGUAGUCACAUGUGGUAGCCGGGCCAGCAUUGAGAAUGCCACAUGCUUCAGAUGCGGCGGCCAUUGCAAUGAUGGUUGGCUGUGCUCCGGACCAGGCAUCAAGGGCCCCUCCCCUCGUCUUCUCUCUCGUGGGGCACCUUGACGCAUAUGGUGAAGCUCGCUCACUGCGAUACCGGAGUUCAGGUAUGUAUGGCUUCGUCUCUGACAUAGCUGGGUGUGCUGUGUGUGGGAAGAUGAUGUGGGAAGGGAAAGGCGCCAUGCAUAACCGGCAAGUGGGAUGUGCUUGAUGAACAUGCGGCCGAUAGUAGCAGUGAAGGAAUGCGAGGCGGGGGGGGGACAAACGGAAGAUGUCAAGCAAGGGAGAAAGUACCGCGUGCCCCUGCUGAAGAGAUGGCCUGCCGUUUUCAAUAUUUCUUUUCUUCGGACCCGACGAAGACAAUUCGCUUUCUGCGACAGAUGCUGGUUUUCAGCCCUGUGCUCCACUAUCGAAAUCGUGGCAAUCUCCGAUUUCUCAAGGCUCUACACCGCAG
rnacentral:misc_RNA from 1 species